GACGAACGCUGGCGGCGUGCUUAACACAUGCAAGUCGAACGGAAAGGCCCUGCUUUUGUGGGGUGCUCGAGUGGCGAACGGGUGAGUAACACGUGAGUAACCUGCCCUUGACUUUGGGAUAACUUCAGGAAACUGGGGCUAAUACCGGAUAGGAGCUCCUGCUCCAGGGUGGGGGUUGGAAAGUUUCGGCCGUUGGGGAUGGACUCGCGGCUUAUCAGCUUGUUGGUGGGGUAGUGGCUUGCCAAGGCUUAGACGGGUAGCCGGCCUGGGAGGGUGACCGGCGACAUUGGGCCUACGGUAGGGACCAGACUCGUACGGUAGGCAGCAGUGGCGAAUCUUGCACAGUGGGACGAAGCCUGAUGCAGAAACGCCGCGUGCGGGAUGACGGCCUUUGGGUUGUAAACAGCUUUAGCCUGUGACCAAGCGUGAGUGACGGUAAUGGGUAAAGAAGCACCGGCUAACUACGUG
rnacentral:rRNA from 1 species